rnacentral:lncRNA from 1 species
CUUUUGACCCGUUGCCUGUCCUGUUCUCUGUUGUUUCCCCAGCAUCUAGAACAAUAGGUGCCUGACACAAUAGGUGCUUCGUAAAUAUUUAUUAUUAUUAUUAUUAUUUUAGAGACAGGGUCUUGCUCUGUUGCCCCGGCUGGAAUACAGUGGGAUGAUCAUGGCUCACUGCCAUCUCCAACUCCUGGGCUCAAACGAUCCUCCCACCUCCGCCUACAGAGUAGCUGGGACUAUAGGUACACAGCACCAAAUUUUCUGUAGAGACGGGGGUCUUGCUUUGUAGCCCACACUAGUGUUGAACUCCUGGCCUCAAGUGAUCCUCCUGCCUUGAUGGGAUUACAGGUGUGAGCCACCACACCCAGCCUAAAUGUUUAUUUCAUUGGUCAGUGUCAGAACUAGGAUUGGAAUUUAGAUUGUUAAUCUCUUGCCACAAGAUAGGAAAAUGGAGCAAGAUGAGGAGAAAAAAGCAUUUAAUGGGAGAGAACACCCUUGUCUGAGGUCAGGGACCUGGGAAGCAAGCACGACUUUGCCACUGUCACUGUGUGUUACUUGGACAGUGCCUUAUUUUCCCAUCUGUGAAAUAAAAGAGCUGGAUAAGAACCUUAGUUUUGAGAUCCUGUCUCCCUUAAAAGCUGAAGACAAAGGUAACUGAUCCAAGGGCAGACAAGGGAUGGUACCAUCAUCUCCAGCUUGGACUCCCACUGCUGACAAAAUUUGUCCCUUCAAAGUUGAGAUAGCUACCAUGGGGAAGAGCACUUAGUUCUAUACUGAAUGGCUCCAGGCAUUUUCAUGAAAGCUCUUUCAGCUUUGGGGAAGAAUAUUCAUCCAUAUCUUUACCCCAUCAUAUUAGUGUCUAAGCCCUGCAAUCAGGCAUGUCAGCCACGUGAUGGAAUGGGAGGGCUGCAGGGCAGCACUGUCCAGUAGAAACGAAAUGCAAGCCACAUAUGUCAUUUUAAGUUUUCUUUUUUUGAGAUGGAGUUUCACUCCAUCACCCAGGCUGGAGUGCAGUGGCACGAUCUCGCCUCACUGCAACCUCCGCCUCCCAGGUUCAUGUGAUUCUCCUGCCUCAGCCUCCUGAGUAGCUGGGAUUACAGGCAUAUGCCACCAUGCCUGGCUAAUUUUUGUAUUUUUAGUAGAGAUGGGGUUUCACCAUGUUGAUCAGGCUGGUCUGGAACUACUGACCUCAGGCCACCCGCCUUGGCCUCCCAAAGUGCUGGGAUUACAGGCAUGAGCCACCGCGCCCAGCUAAUUUUUGUAUUUUUAUUUUAUUUAUUUAUUUAUUUUUUGGGAGACGGAGUCUUGCUCUGUCACCCAGGCUGGAGUGCAGUUGUGCGAUCUUGGCUCACUGCAACCUCAGCCUCCCAAGUAGCUGGGAUUACAGGCAUGCACCAUCAUGCCCAGCUAAUUUUUGUAUUUUUAGUAGAGAUGGGGUUUCACUGUGUUGGCCAGGCUGGUCUUGAACUCCUGACCUCAGGUGAUCCACCGGCCUCAGCCUCCCAAAGUGCUGGGAUUAUAGGCGUGAGCCACUGCACCCGUCCUAAUUUUUGUAUUUUUAGUAGAGAUGGGGUUUCACCAUGUUGGCUAAGCUGGUCUGGAACUCAUGGCCUCAAGUUAUCUGCCCACCUCAGCCUCCCAAAGUGCUGAGUAAGCCAAGUUUUCUAAUAGCCACAUUAGACAAGUAAAAGGAAACAGGUUAAAUUCAUUUUAACAUGUUUUACUUAACCCAAUGUAUCCAAAAUAGCAUUUCAACAUGUCAUCGGUUUUUUAGUUUUUUUUUUUUUUGAGAUAGUGCUUCGCUUUGUUGCCCAGGCUGGAGUGCAGUGGCACAAUCUCGGCUCACUGCAACCUCCACCUUCCAGGUUCAAGUGAUUCUCCUGCCUCAGCCUCCCGAGUAGCUGGGAUUACAGGCACCCGCCACCAUGCCCACUAAUUUUUGUAUUUUUGGUUAGAGAUGGGGUUUCGCCAUGUUGGCCAGGCUAGUCUCAAACUCCUGACCUCAGGUGAUCCACCCACCUCGGCCUCCCAAAGUGCUAGGAUUACAGGCGUGAGGCACCGUGCCUGGCGUCAUCGGUAUUAUUUAAAUGAAUUAUGUUACGUUCUUUUGUGCUGUCUUCAAAAUCUGUUAUAUAUUUUACACUUACACCAAAUCUCAAUUACCAUGGUACAUUUUUAUCUGAAAUGCUUGACCUUUAUUUUGAUUUCAUAAAAUUCAUAGUUGGAGAAGUAGAUUCACAUAUCCAAGUUGUUCCAAUUAUAUAAUAGUUUUCCAAAAACUGAGAUGGGUGUCCAUUUUUUUUUUAAGUAAAGAUGCAGGUCUGGUUAUGUUGACCAAGUUGCUGGGUUGUUUUGUUUUGUUUUGAGACAGAGUCUCACUUUGUCACCCAGGCUGGAGUGCAGUGGCAUGACCUCAGCUCACUGCAACCUCUGCCUCCCAGGUUCAACUGAUUCUCUUGCAUCAUCCUCCUGAGUAGCUGGGACUACAGGUGUAUGCCACCAUGCCUGGCUAAUUUUGGUAUUUUUCUCAGAGACGGGGUUUCACCAUGUUGGGCAUGCUGGUCUUGAACUGCUGACCUCAGGUGAUCCGCCCACCUCGGCCUCCCAAAGUGCUGGUAUUACAGGCAUGGGCCACCACACCUGGCCUCAGCUGUUCAAUUAAAAGUAAAUACAACUUAAAAUUCUAUGUUUCAUUGGCAGUAGUGCAACAUUAAUACUGAGUAGCCACAUGUGAUUAGUGGCUAUGGUAUUGGACAGGGAAGGUACAGAAUACUUCCAUCAACAUAGAAAAUUCUAUCAGUCUAGCUCUAGGGGCAGAUAGUCCUUCCACUGACUUGGGCAAGUCACUCUACAAAUGGCAUCUACCUCACAUGGUUAUGGUGAGAAUUCAGCGUAUGUAUGUACAUGCAGGCACACAAUAUGCACACAGACACAUAACAUAGUACACCCUUUCCUGAAAAGCCUGACACAUGGAGCUCAAACAUGAGUGCCACCCACCCCUGGGCAGCACCAAGAUGGCUCUAGUCUGGGUGCCUUUGUCUCACCCCCAUGCCUUUGCUCGGAGUGUGCUCCUCAUUUUUCUGCCACUUUGACCCUGUCUCUGAUUUGGUCCUGUCUGACAUCACUGCUAUAUGCUUUGCUCCUCUCAAUUUCCUCUGCCCUCAUGCCAGCAGGAGUCAUGCCAGAGAUCAUAUCUGAGAAAGCAAGACAAUUUUGUGUGUGUGUCUGUGCCCAUAGAGGAGUGCUGGUUGUGUUGAUAUAGUUGUAGAUUGGUUGUGUUUACACAGUUGUAUAUAUUGACACCCUUGAGUGUUAUGACUUCUUUUGGGGGUGGUCGCCUUUUAAAUCAUAACUUUUAAUGGGAUUCCAUUUUAGUCUUUGUGAAGACAUAAGGUUGUUGGCAGGCAUCUGUCCCUGGGAGCAUCCAAGCAGAAAAGACUAAGACUCCCUUGUAGACAGAUCACUGGCCGCCACUGAAGUGUGUCUGCAUGGCACCACAGGGCUGGAAGACCCUUGAAGGCAGGAAUUCAAGGAAAUGUAUGAUGAAUUUUGGCAUUGCCAUCAAAAGCAGAACAGGCAUGGAAAACUUGGGUGAGUGGGCGAGACAACCUCCUCACCACAGCAGAGUUCCAUCCAUGCCUGGAUAAUGAUGGAGGGAUUUGUGUCCACUGCAGUGGGGAACCAUGAAGGACACAUCAAGGGUGUGGUUGGCCUGUGGUGCUCUUUGGAGGAAUGAAUAAAAAUGAAUAGAAAUCCUA